rnacentral:rRNA from 1 species
UACGAAGGGGGCUAGCGUUGCUCGGAAUCACUGGGCGUAAAGCGCACGUAGGCGGAUUGCUAAGUCAGGGGUGAAAUCCCUCGGCUCAACUGAGGAACUGCCUUUGAAACUGUCGGGCUUGAGGCCGGGAGGGGGUAGCGGAAUUCCCAGUGUAGCGGUGAAAUGCGUAGAUAUUGGGAGGAACACCAGUGGCGAAGGCGGAUCUCUGGGCCAUUACUGACGCUGAGGAGCGAAAGCGUGGGGAGCGAACAGG